GGUGGGCCCCCUCGCAUUUUGGUCUUGUGAAUCUGGUCAGGUCGGGAACGAAGCAGCCACAGCAAGUAAACAAAAGUGCCGAGGUUCCGGCUCACCACU
rnacentral:SRP_RNA from 1 species